CUGUUACACUUGAGAGAGUCUUUGUUGGUUGUCAUAUCGAGUUGUGUCUGACUGAUGAUGUCGUUAUCGAAGGUGCUCAAAUCCGACAAAGAAAGAAAGUGGGUACAUCCUUGUUUUCCACAAGGUUGAAGGUUCAAACCCUUCAUAUUGCAUCAAUCUGUUGUUGUCCAAAUCUUGCCCGACCAUGGUCUGAUGAUUUGGAGGUAUGAAGGGUGUAGAUCAAUUUGCUCGGUCCAUGGUGGUGAAAGACGGAGCACCAAUUUAUCAUGGAGAGUCAUAGAUCUACACAUAAGGAGAAUAGAAAAGCCCACUAGGGUGGCUUUAACCGGACCUCCUCCGAUGUUUAAAUUUGGUAGGGCUUUUGGAAUAACAGUGAGAAAUAGCAUGAGAAUAAAGAGCAUUAGAGUUGAACGAUUUCUCUGAAUUAUUAGGCUGUGAGUGCUUGGCCUAAAGUGCUCGGUCUAGAAUGCUCAACAUGGGAGCUUGGCCUAGAGUACUCAGCAUGGGAGCUCGGCCUGGAGUGCUCGGACUAGGAGCUCGACCUGGGAUGCUUGGUUUGAAGUGAUCGACAUGGGAGCCCGACCUAGCAUGCUCGACAUAGGAGCUCGGCCUAGGGUGCUUAGCAUGGAAGCUCGGCUUGGAGUGCUUGGAGUGCUCAGCCUAGAGUGUUCGACCUAGGUGUUUGGCUUGGGAGCUUAGCAUGGAGUGCUCGGCAUGGGAGCGCGAUCUGGAAUGCUCGGCCUGGGAGCUCAGCUUAGAGUUAUUGGCUUGGGAGCUUGGCCUGCGGUGCAUGACAUGGAAGACUCGACCUGAAGUGCUUGGCUUGGGAGCUCGGCAUGGGAGCAUGGCUUGGAGCUUGGUAGCUCGGCCUUUUGGUCGGUGGUUGCGUCCCGUGCGCAAGCACAAUAGUUGCACGUCUGAUACGCAUGAUGCUUGUAUCUUGGAUGGUAUAGAAGGACGACCUCUAGGGACCCAUGUCCUAGUCUCCAGGAUAUAGGUCUCGCAUGCAUGAUGCUCGAAUCUCAGAUGGCAUGGAAGGGCGGCCUCCAAGGAUGCGCAUCCUAUCUGGAGAGGAGAUAACAUGUGGGUAUGGCUAUGCAUAGAGAUAGCUAUGAGAGCUUGUGCUUGAGAGCAAUGAGAGCUUGAAAGCAUCUUCUUGAGAGCCUCUCGCUAUCUGUGCUUCAGAGACUUUGAUCGUUCCUCUCUCCUCUUUGGAGUCCCUUAGCCUUGUUAUAUAGAAGAGGGAGCAUAGAUCCAUUACGAUUUGGAGGCGAAAAUCAAGGGAUUGCUAUAACCUCCUUUCUUAUUUGGAUUCAAAUUUGCCAUAAUCUCCCUUUUUUGUUAUUUGGAUCCUACAAAAAAUUCAAAUUCUUUCGGAUUCAAAUCAUUUUAAAAUGCUCGCCACAUGUUGACCCAUGAUAGGCGGAUUAGAUUUAGGCCACAUCAUGUGGCUUUUAUGUAGGUUUUUUAUAUAUAUGCAAUUAUAGCAGUUUUUUCACCCUUAAAACAUGUAAAAGAAAUGAUAGAAAAUAUAUUGAAUACAUAAACUGUUUGAGAGCUAGUUAACCACUGGCAUGAGUACUGGUAAGAAAAAGAGGUGAUAAAAUGAUCUAAACUUUGCAAAGGAACAAAAAGUACAGAUAUCUAUUUAUUCACUAUUUUUUUCUUGUGUAUCAACUUCUGCAUGCUUCAUUCUCCUAUGAAGCACGGGAAUCUUUGCUUAGUUUUUACAAUACUUUCUCCUUUUUAAAUUUGGUAUACCAUCUAAGUUGAGGCCCUUGCUAGGUUUCUCAUGUGCAUGUACAACGGAAACAUGCAUGAUCACUAACCAUUGCAGGGUUCAGGAUAGUCGGGCCCUCCUGGACCCCAUCUCAAACCAUGCAAACACAUCGCAUGGUUCACCAUGUCUGUGUGUCUGGGUGUAUGUAUUGUGUGUAGAGAGAGAGAGAGAGAGAGAGAGAUGGAGAGCUUUGUUUGCUUCUUGUAAACCUGAAGGCCAGCAGUCUGUGUUCAAAAAAAAGAGGACCAGUUCAUGGGCUAGGACUUGGGACCACGUAACUGUCCCCAAACCCAUGCUCAGUGACUCUUUCAAGCAUGGGAACAUUAACGUACGAAGGAAAGUUAGGUUCUACGAUAGGGACCUUAGAGAACUCAUUUCUAAGCCUCCAUCUUGACCAAAGCCUCCUUCCCUUGACCACCUUUUCUUCAUACAGUGGUAUGGCCAAAUUUCUUUUCUUAUAGACAUGGUUGUUGGUUCUAUAGCAAAUUUGAUGUUCCUUAAUUUGUAGACAGUACCUAGAUUCCCAUUCACAACCUUUUAUUUGUGCAUACGGAAGACAAGAUUACCAAGGAGCUUGGUAUGGAGAGAUGAAAAUGAAAUUGGGAUGACAUGCGCGUUUGAAAGGAACAACUUGUGGACGAUGAUUUUUUUUUUAAAUUGAUUAUGGGCUUGUUUAUAUUCACGCCCAGCAACUUACUUAGUUGAUUUAUAACUAGACCCUAUUAGCUUUAGUUAAUUUAAAGGAAACUUUUGACUCAACCCAUAUAGCUUAUAUUCAAAUUAACCCUUCUGUAAGGUUUAGGCUCUUUAGGCCCUUAUAAUCACCAUUAUUUAAGGUCAUCCCGUGGCCCAUUAACUCAGCACCUAUUGAAGGCCCUUAGGCCCCCUUUUAGCCUAAGUCAAUUUGGGUUCAGGGACAUUGGGCUCGGACCAAGCCCGGCCCUUGGUCCAUUUAUUUGAACCAUAAAAAGCCCUUUUCCUAUUUUCAUCUUCUUCUUCCCGAUCAAAACCCAUCUUCUUCCCCUUCUUCUUCCAUUUUUCACCCCGAUCUCCUUCCCCUCGUCUUCUCCUCUCCUCCCAUGAGGAAAGGAGGCGGGCUCGGGAGGCCCCAAUCUCCUCUAUGGAGCCUUCGGCUACCAAAUCUAGAGUCCACCGUCGCCCGCCUCUUUUCUUCCCCAUCCUCAGCCUCCCUUCUUCCCCUCAUCCCCAUCUCCCCCUUUGAUGGACAUGGGGGUCGGGACCACCCUCUCGAGAUGAAGGGGCCUCCGACCUGCCGCAGCUCUGGCCGAGGGCCGAUGGAGCCUGCGGUCGGAGCCGGUGGCUCCUUCCUCGUUCCCAUUGGGGCAGGGGCAAUAACCCACGGCCAUGGCCAUGGAUGCGGCCAUGGCUGCGGCCGAGCUCGUCGUGACCAAAGGAGGGGAGGAAGGGCCUCCGGCCGUCGACGACUGCGGCUGAGCAUACCAGCUAGGCUAGAUCUAAUCUAACAGAGCAUGAAUAAAGGGAUUAAGGGCUUACCUAGUUCUGAGGAGGAGAUGGGGAACUUCUUCCGGCAGCUUGUACCGCUUCCUCCGGCAGCUCGACGGCGGAUCCGGGGAGCUCCGCUGCUGCUAAAAGAAUGGAGAAAAGAAGUAUUGAGGAGGGAAAGAUGCCUCAGUGAAGAACUCCUCCGGCUUUUAUGGCUUGCUUUGGGGAAGAGGGGAGCGAGAUCCGUCGUGUCCGCGGUUGUUAGGCAGUUAUAACCGCCGCCUCCUUUUUGAAGAUACCUAGUUUGGAUCUUCAGAUGGGCCGCCGACUAUGGUCCCAGUCAGCCCAUCUGGCCCUGUAUUUACAAAUUCAUUCUUGUAGUUAAUUGUUGAAGAUAUGGUCUAAGCUCCAUAAGUUGAGACUUUAUUUAAGCUCGAAUUGAUUUUAACUUGAUUUAAAUUAUCAAGCAAAUUGGCUUGGCUUGUCUUUGGCUUGAUUAGAAAUUAAGCUUGAAUUUACCUCAGAUCAAAUAAUAAAAGAACCGAGCAUGGUCUAAAAAGUCGGGCUUGAAAUUGAA